AACUGUUUUGGGACUACAACUCCCAUCAUCCCUAGCUAACAGGACCAGUGGUCAGGGAUGAUGGGAAUUGUAGUCCCAAAACAGCU